AACCAAUCACCCCAACAGCUCUACAAGAUGUGACAAUUUAAAGGACUGCACUGAAGGGAAUCCACGGGCCCAGGAAGGGAGAGCUCCACUCUUCCAAUCCUACUACACCAAGCUGAAUGAGGAGCCUUCUGGAACUUGGCGAUGGGCCGGGGGUGGACAGAUCCUGCUUCUCACCUGGAUAAUUCUUAAGGCAGGACACAAGCUAGAGCUACCCACAACAGCAAGUUGGGGAGACAGUGGUAGCAGCUGGCCAAACUGGACUUGCCUCAUUUAGCAAGUGGUUUCCCUCGAUCACAGGGAAGCAAUAGCAGAAAGCUGGGUUCCAGGUGAGAGCUAAAUUGUUGAGACUUCACCGACGAGGGCUGCUGGCAAAGUGGGCUCAAGUCUCAGAGGUGGCUGCAGGUGUGCCCUUUGUGACUGGGAAAGGGUGUGAGAUUGUAAAGACCCAGUUGGGAAGCGCAUUCCAGGAUCAGACAACUAUGGCACUGACAAUCCUUACAGCGAGCCUGAAGAACCCACAAAUGGGUGGAAAAGAACCAGCCCUGGGGCCUCUGCUGCAGUGGGGCUGCCAACAGCCAGGUUGUAAGAGUGCCCGCCAUGAAAGACUCUCCUCUUUUUCUCUGACUCCUGCCCUCUGCCCCUGUCCUAGAGGAUC
rnacentral:lncRNA from 1 species